rnacentral:rRNA from 1 species
UACGAGAGGUGCAAGCGUUGUUCGGAAUGACUGGGCGUAAAGCGCACGUAGGUGGGCUUGUAAGUCGGAUGUGAAAGCCCCAGGCUUAACCUGGGAAUGGCACCCGAAACUAUAAGUCUUGAAUGCUUGAGAGGUUGGUGGAAUUCCUGGUGUAGGAGUGAAAUCCGUAGAUAUCAGGAGGAAUAUCGGAGGCGAAGGCGGCCAACUGGUGGUGCAUUGACACUGAGGUGCGAAAGCGUGGGGAGCAAACAGG